rnacentral:pre_miRNA from 1 species
CAUAUAAUUACUGGGCAAUUACUUCUUUGGCAGUUGGCCACUCGAUGACUGCAUGCAACAAAAUGCAGCAAAAGAUAUUUCCAUUGAAGUAAGCUCACUGCCAAAGGAGAUUUGCCCGGCAAUUCACCU